rnacentral:rRNA from 1 species
GGUUUUCGGAUCGUAAAACUCUGUUGUUAGGGAAGAACAAGUACCGUUCGAAUAGGGCGGUACCUUGACGGUACCUAACCAGAAAGCCACGGCUAACUACGUGCCAGCAGCCGCGGUAAUACGUAGGUGGCAAGCGUUGUCCGGAAUUAUUGGGCGUAAAGCGCGCGCAGGUGGUUUCUUAAGUCUGAUGUGAAAGCCCACGGCUCAACCGUGGAGGGUCAUUGGAAACUGGGAAACUUGAGUGCAGAAGAGGAAAGUGGAAUUCCACGUGUAGCGGUGAAAUGCGUAGAGAUGUGGAGGAACACCAGUGGCGAAGGCGACUUUCUGGUCUGUAACUGACACUGAGGCGCGAAAGCGUGGGGAGCAAACAGGAUUAGAUACCCUGGUAGUCCACGCCGUAAACGAUGAGUGCUAAGUGUUAGAGGGUUUCCGCCCUUUAGUGCUGCAGCUAACGCAUUAAGCACUCCGCCUGGGGAGUACGGUCGCAAGACUGAAACUCAAAGGAAUUGACGGGGGCCCGCACAAGCGGUGGCGCAUGUGGUUUAAUUCGAAGCAACGCGAAGAACCUUACCAGGUCUUGACAUCCUCUGACAACCCUAGAGAUAGGGCGUUCCCCUUCGGGGGACAGAGUGACAGGUGGUGCAUGGUUGUCGUCAGCUCGUGUCGUGAGAUGUUGGGUUAAGUCCCGCAACGAGCGCAACCCUUGAUCUUAGUUGCCAG